GUACUGGGUAGGUCCAUCAUUCACAUCUGAGCAAGGGUAGGCGGUGGACGAGGACCAGCAGGCGGAGCACACCACCACCACCGCCACUAGUGCGCAUCACCAGCACAGUCUGGAGGAUAGGAGGAAAUGUUGUUCCAGAUUCCAAGCUUGAAAAUCCAAGGCAAAUAGACUUGUAGAUGUCUGGUGUUGCAUUGUUAGAAUCUGGAAGUGUGGAUCCUCACUCCUUGAUCAAGCAGCAGCAGUGGCAGCAGUCAUUGCUGCCCAGAGGAGAGGAUGCAUCAGGAUGCAUCUGAGAGUGCUCACUGGCUGCCGGAGGCGAUAUGUCACUGAUUCAAUGUAACACGCAAGGCAGCCAAUCACAGGAAGGCUUUGUGUUAUCACCAAGAAUGCCAUGAGACAUUGUUUAUAAACUGUUAUGUGCCCACAGCCACCAAUCAUCAUAGUAUUCCAGGGAGUAAAAAAUAAUGGCUAAUGAUUUCCAUAAAAACAAGAACCAUAUUGAUUCAAAACAGGCCAAAAAAUACGAGAAAUAAAUAGUUUCAUCCACAUUAGAAAACUGGUGGGAGUAAAAAUUAGCCCAUUAGCAUAUUUGCUUAUUAUUUUAUCUUGACCAAACUGUAAAUUGCAUAUGGAAUUUAGUUAACUAAUGUUUUGGACACUGCUUUAAGUAAUAUGACCAAAUUCCCUAAAUGACUUUGUUGCAUAAUGGGAGAUAAAAAUUUUCUUUCUGCUCACCCUUUGGGAUCCAAACUUCUAGAAAAAAGAAAAUCAUUUUAAACAUGUUCUUCAUUGUUGAGGUUAAAUAUAUGUUCUACAUUGUUGAGGAAGAGUUAGGUUAGGGUAGGUUGUUAGGUUGGUUAGCUAGGUCGGACUGAUGGUAGCAAUGCUUAAAACCCCUCCAAAGUUUGCUGUUGUGUACAUGUUGUAAUUUAAUGUUGCUGUGUAAAAUUUAUCCAGAUAGUUGAUAACCAUAACUAAGAAACUGCUAAGCACUGGAUUAUAGAUAGCAGUGUGUACAGUAAGUACCUGUGGCAGUCAGGUCUGAGAUGGUGACCACUGCAGUAAUUAAAAUCUUCAAGAUGAGCACUUACGCAUUCAAGUAUUACAACAGGUGGACUUAGUUCCAUGCAGGUGAAGGACCUCCAGAGGACACCACCUACACUGUUGUCCUGCGGACACUGUCACUAACAGCUGUUUGCAGAACUGCCAGUCCCUGACAAUCUGUUAGGGCUGAGACGGUGCCUCCUGAUGAAGGACUUUUGGAUUUGGCAUUUGGGAACCGUUACCCUGAGUGGAUGCCCUUCCUACCCUCGGACCGUAGCCAGGAUUUGAACCCGUGCGCCUGAUGACCACUUGGCCCCCAAAGCGCGCGCGGUUCCACUGUACCACGGCGGCUCCCAAAAUCACCGUGACCCGUGAAGAGCCCCGGGGUCAGGUCAAGGACGAGGAAGCCUACAGGAGGCGCCUCUCCAAGACCGACCAAAUGUUUCAUCCCCAGCGGGAUUCGAACCCGCGGCCUCUGGAUUAGAAGUCCAGCGCGCUAUCCACUGCGCCAUGGGGACUGUUAUAUAUAUAUAUAUAUAUAUAUAUAUAUAUAUAUAUAUAUAUAUAUAUAUAUAUAUAUAUAUAUAUAUAUAUAUAUAUAUAUAUAUAUAAUCUUUUCUUCAUUAACUUGUGUAACAUUUGUGGUCCUGGAUCUAAUUUUUGAUCAGUAGAAUACCACCUCUCCUCUACUAAACCUCGUCAUCUUUUCCUCACUGAAACACAGGUGUCUGAGGCAACUGACAGUAACCCAUUUUCUGUUCCCUCCAACUUUCUGUCUCCAUAUUCAGUCCAAAGUUGAAUGUUGUGUCUAUGUGCGCAAUGACUUAACCUGCUUUCGUGCCCCACGCUCUUGAAUCUUCUGAGUUUUCCACCAUCUGGCUAUGACUACAGUCACUCUCUAAAUUUAUCUGUGCUGUAUACCUCUCACCUAACUCCUCUGACUAUAAGAAAUUUUUUGACUACUUAAUUUCCAUAGUGGAGCACAUUCUGUCUCUCUUCCCUUUUGCAGAGAUCUCCAUUCUUGGAGACUUCAAUAUUAAUCACCAGCUUUGACUUUCCUCUCCCUUCACUGACCAUCCUGGUGAACUAGCCUUCAACUUUGCUAUCCUCCACAACCUAGAGCAAUUGGUACAACACCCUACUUGUGUUCCUUACCAUCUUGGAGAUACACCCAACAUUCUUGACCUUUUCCUGACCUCUACUCUAAUCCUUCUGCUUAUGCUGUCACCCUUUCUUCUCUGUUGGGCUCCUCCGAUCACAAUCUCAUAUCUGUAUCUUGUCCUAUCGCUCCAGUCCCUCCUCAGGAUCCCCAUAAGUGGAGGUGCCUCUAGCAUUUUGUCUCGGCUAGUUGGGGGACCUGAGGAGGUAUUUUGUUGAUUUUCCUUGGAAUGACCACUGCUUCCUUGUCAGAGACCCGUGUCUGUGUGUUGAUUGCAUAACAGAGGUGAUAGUGUCUGGCAUGGAGGCGUACGUUCCUCACUGUUUUUCUCGACCUAAACCUUCCAAACCUUGGUUUAACACCGCUUGUUCUUGUGCAAUACAUGAUAGAGAGGUGGCCCACAAAAAAUUACUCGAGCCUUCCAUCACCAGAAUCUCGUGUGCUUUAUAUUUCUGCUAAAAACCAUGCCAAGUGUAUUCUCUGACUAGCCAAAAACUUCUUCAUUGAUAGAAAGUGUCAGUCUUUCAAGAUCUAACUCCCCUUGUGACUUCUCACAUCUAGUCAAAGAUAUCUCCAAUAACUUUUCUUUUUUUCCCUCCUUUGUUUCAGCCAGAUGGCACUACUAUCACAUCCAUCUCUAAAGCUGAACUCUUUGCUCAGACCUUUGUUAAAAACACUACCGUAGGCCUUGUUCCUUCCUCUCUUCCACCCUCUGACUACUUCAUGCCUUCGCUGGCAUAAACCCUCAGAAGGCUUAUGGACCUUAUACGAGUCCCUCCUAUUAUUCUCUGAAACUGCACCUCUGUGCUUGCUCUUGUUUAGUCAAACUUUUUCAACUCUGUCUGUCAACAUCUACGUCUGUCAACAUCUACCUUUCCUUCUUGUUGGAAGUUUGCCUACAUUCCUAAAAAAUUCCUAAGAAGGGUGAGUGUUCUAAUCCCUCAAACUACCAUCCUAUUGCUUUAAUUUCCUGCCUAUUUUAAGUUUUUUUAAUCUAUCCUCAACAGGAAGAUUCUUAAACAUCUAUCACUUCACAACCUUCUAUCUGAUUACCAGUAUGGGUUCUGUCAAGGCUGCUAUACUGGUGAUACUUUGGCUUUCCUUACUGAGUCUUGGUCAUCCUCUUUUAGAGAUUUUGGUGAAACUUUUGCUGUUGCCUUGGACAUAUCAAAAGCUUUUGAUAGAGUCUGGCACAAAGCUUUGAUUUCCAAAGUACCCUCCUAUGGCUUCUAUCCUUCUCUCUGUAACUUCAUCUCAAGUUUCCUUUCUGACCGUUCUAUUGCUACUGUGGUAGGCAGUCAUUGUUCUUCUAAAUCUAUUAGUAAUGGUGUUCCUCAACGUUCUGUCCUGUCACUCACUCUCUUCCUAUUAUUCAUCUAUAAUCUUCUAAACCAAACUUCUUGUCCUAUCCACUCCGAAGCUGAUGAUACCACCCUGCACUUUUCCAUGUCUCUAAAUGUCCAACCCUUCAGUUCACACAGGGAAGCCACAGAAUGCCUGACUUCUAAUCUCUCUAAAAUUUCUGAUUGGGGCAGAACAAACUUGGUAUUGUUCAGUACCUCAAAAACUUAAUUCCUCCAUUUAUCAACUUAACACAACCUUCCAGACAAGUAUCCCCUCUUCUUCAGUGGCACUCAACUGUCCCUCUUUUCUACAUUGAACAUCCUGUCUUUUACUUACAAUCUAAACUGAAAACUUCACAUCUCAUCUCUAGCUAAAACAGCUAUGAAGUUAGGUGUUCUGAGACAUCACUAGUUUUCUCACCCUUCCAGCUGCUAACUCUGUACUGGGACCUUAUCCAUCCAUGUAUGGAGUAUGCUUCACAUGACUAGGGUGGUUCCACUCAUACUGCUUUUCCAGACAGGGUGGAAUCAAAAGCUUUUCAUCUCAUCAACUCCUCUCCUCUAACUGACUGUCUUCAGCCUCUUUUCUCAACUCCACAGUGUUACAUCUCUAGCUGUCUUCUACCACUAUUUUCAUGCUAACUGCUUUUCUGAUCUUGCCAACUGCAUGCCUUCCACUCCUCCUAUGGCCUCACUGCACAAAACUUUCUUUUCUCUCUCUCCUAUUCUGUCCACCUCUCUAAUGCAGGAGUUAACCAGUAUUCUCAAUCAUUCAUCACUUUCUCUGGUAAAAUCUGGAACUCCCUGCCUGCUUCUGUAUUUCCACCUUCCUGUGACUUGAAUUCCUUCAAGAGGGGAGGUUUCAACAUGCCUGUGCUUCAACUUUUGACUACUGCUUCGGACCUUGCUCAGGGAUUGGCAUCUCAGUGUUUUUUUUUUUUUUUCCUUGGUGUUCCUCCUACAUUAAGAAAAAAAAAAAGCAGCCCUCCCUGUAUUUCUUUUUUUCCCUCUUUCCAGGAGAGUCUGGCUCUCUGUGAGGACCACAGCCAUCCACCCACCAGCAGUAGUGUUAGAGUCAUCCAGCCCUCAUCUGCUGGUGUUGCUAGGGCCUCUGGAUUCAUUGUUGCUGUGGGUGCAUCAUGUGAAGUUUUAGCAGUGGACAUCAGUGUUUGAAGUCAUCCAUCUUACAGAUGACAUCACCCAGUGGUGAAUAACUGUUGCCACUCAUUCAUGUUAACAUGUAUUCAAUUUUGUUCUUCAGUGCAUACCUAUGAACAUUGUAUGUACAUUUAGCA